CCUACGGGAGGCAGCAGUGGGGAAUAUUGCACAAUGGAGGGAACUCUGAUGCAGCGACGCCGCGUGAGUGAGGAAGUAAUUCGUUAUGUAACGCUCUAUCAGCAGGGAAGAAAGUGACGGUACCUGAAAAAGAAGCUCCGGCUAAAUACGUGACAGCAGCCGCGGUAAUACGUAUGGAGCAAGCGUUAUCCGGAUUUACUGGGUGUAAAGGGAGAGUAGGUGGGUGAGCAAGUCCGAAGUGAAAACCCAAAGCUUAAAUUUGGGAAUGCUUUAGAAACUGGUCAGCUAGAGUGCAGGAGAGGCAAGCGGAAUUCUGAGUGUAGCGGUGAAAUGCGUAGAUAUUAGGAGGAACACCAGUGGCGAAGGCGGCUUACUGGACUGUAACUGACGCUGAGGCUCGAAAGCGUGGGGAGCAAACAGGAUUAGAUACCCGAGUAGUC
rnacentral:rRNA from 1 species